CCUAUGAUCCUCAGUCAUGGACCAGGAGCCCCUUGUGCUAGCCUCUGUACAAACAGAAAGAUGGUCUCGCCACAAAGAGCUUACAGCUGAAGUAUAAGAGAAGAGACAACAGGUGGAUGCAGGCAGACAGGGGAGUAUAAGGAAACAAUGAGGCAAUGUCGGUUAGCGUGAUAUGCAGUCGCUUCAGCACAGCAGCAUUAACAGAAAAGAACACAACAGCCUCAAGAAAGGUGCUGAGAACUGAAUGAGGUGUCGUAGACAUGUCAGGCUGGAAGAGCCCUCAAGAGGUCAUCAAGUCCAGCUCCCUGCGCUGAGGCAGAACCAGACCAACUUCUCAUGGUGGAAGGUCCACGGUUUCAAGCUACACAGAGCUCUUCAGAUCUGGGCAAGGAAGCAGAACAUUUGACUACAUACUAAUUGGGGCAGAUUGUUGAGCUGAACAGGUAACACAGACGGG